AACGCGAAGAACCUUACCUGGGCUCGAAGCGCAGUGGACCGGGGUAGAAAUAUCCCUUUCUCGCAAGAGACUGCUGCGGAGGUGCUGCAUGGCUGUCGUCAGCUCGUGUCGUGAGAUGUUGGGUUAAGUCCCGCAACGAGCGCAACCCUUAUCCCUAGUUGCCAUCGGGUCAAGCCGGGCACUCUAGUGAAACCGCCCCGGAUAACGGGGAGGAAGGUGGGGAUGACGUCAAGUCCUCAUGGCCUUUAUGUCCAGGGCUACACACGUGCUACAAUGGUCGGUACAAACCGUCGCAAACCCGCGAGGGGGAGCUAAUCGGAAAAAGCCGACCUCAGUUCGGAUUGGAGUCUGCAACUCGACUCCAUGAAGUUGGAAUUGCUAGUAAUGGCGUGUCAGCACAGCGCCGUGAAUACGUUCCCGGGCCUUGUACACACCGUAGAGAC
rnacentral:rRNA from 1 species